rnacentral:rRNA from 1 species
AUGAACGCUAGCUACAGGCUUAACACAUGCAAGUCGAGGGGCAGCAUGAAGUCAGCUUGCUAUAACUGCCGGCGACCGGCGCACGGGUGAGUAACACGUAUGCAACCUGCCCGUUGCAGGGGGAUAAGCGGAAGAAAUUCCGUCUAAUACCGCGUAAUAUGGGCGAUAGGCAUCUAUCAUUCAUUAAAGAUUUAUCGGCAACGGAUGGGCAUGCGGUGCAUUAGCUAGUUGGCGGGUAACGGCCCACCAUGGCGACGAUGUCUAGGGGUUCUGAGAGGAAGGUCCCCCACACUGGAACUGAGACACGGUCCAGACUCCUACGGGAGGCAGCAGUGAGGAAUAUUGGUCAAUGGCCGAGAGGCUGAACCAGCCAUGCCGCGUGAAGGUCACGGCCCUAUGGGUCUUAAACUUCUUUUGUAAGGGAGCAAUAAGGUUCACGUGUGGACCGAUGAGAGUACCUUACGAAUAAGCAUCGGCUAACUCCGUG